UACGUAGGGUGCAAGCGUUGUCCGGAAUUAUUGGGCGUAAAGAGCUCGUAGGCGGCUUGUUGCGUCGACCGUGAAAACCCGGGGCUCAACUUCGGGCUUGCGGUCGAUACGGGCGGGCUAGAGUUCGGUAGGGGAGACUGGAAUUCCUGGUGUAGCGGGUGAAAUGCGCAGAUAUCAGGAGGAACACCGGUGGCGAAGGCGGGUCUCUGGGCCGAUACUGACGCUGAGGAGCGAAAGCGUGGGGAGCGAACAGG
rnacentral:rRNA from 1 species